CGCGGCCUAUCAGCUUGUUGGUGGGGUAGUGGCCUACCGAGGCGACGACGGGUAGCCGGCCUGAGAGGGUGACCGGCCACACUGGGACUGAGACACGGCCCAGACUCCUACGGGAGGCAGCAGUGGGGAAUAUUGCGCAAUGGGCGGAAGCCUGACGCAGCGACGCCGCGUGGGGGAUGACGGCCUUCGGGUUGUAAACCUCUUUCAGCAGGGACGAAGCGAGAGUGACGGUACCUGCAGAAGAAGCACCGGCCAACUACGUGCCAGCAGCCGCGGUAAUACGUAGGGUGCAAGCGUUGUCCGGAAUUAUUGGGCGUAAAGAGCUCGUAGGCGGUUUGUUGCGUCGGCUGUGAAAUCCCGAGGCUCAACCUCGGGUCUGCAGUCGAUACGAGCAAACUAGAGUGUUGCAGGGGAGACUGGAAUUCCUGGUGUAGCGGUGAAAUGCGCAGAUAUCAGGAGGAACACCGGUGGCGAAGGCGGGUCUCUGGGCAACAACUGACGCUGAGGAGCGAAAGCGUGGGGAGCGAACAGGAUUAGAUACCCUGGUAGUCCACGCCGUAAACGUUGGGCGCUAGGUGUGGGGCUCAUUCCACGAGUUCCGUGCCGCAGCUAACGCAUUAAGCGCCCCGCCUGGGGAGUACGG
rnacentral:rRNA from 1 species